GACGUACCACCCGAACGUUAUUCGGAUUCACUGGGCUUACAGAGUCCGUAGGCGGUCGAGAAAGUUGGAUGUGAAAUACCUCAGCUCAACUGAGGAAUUGCGUUCAAAACUACUUGGCUAGAGAGAUACAGAGGUGAGCGGAACUGAUGGUGGAGCGGUGAAAUGCGUUGAUAUCAUCAGGAACACCGGUGGCGAAAGCGGCUCACUGGGUAUCUUCUGACGCUGAGGGACGAAAGCUAGGGGAGCGAACGGGAUUAGAUACCCCGGUAGUCCUAGCCUUAAACGAUGAGCACUAGAUCGAAGGGACCUCCACAUCCUUUUGGUCGUAGGGAAACUGUUAAGUGCUCCGCCUGGGGAGUAUGGUCGCAAGGCUGAA
rnacentral:rRNA from 1 species